AUACGGAGGGGGUUAGCGUGGUUCGGAAUUACUGGGCGUAAAGCGCACGUAGGCGGACUGGAAAGUUGGGGGUGAACUCCCGGGGCUCAACCCCGGAACUGCCUCCAAAACUUCCAAUCUAGAGAUCGAGAGAGGUGAGUGGAAUUCCAAGUGUAGAGGUGAAAUUCGUAGAUAUUUGGAGGAACACCAGUGGCGAAGGCGGCUCACUGGCUCGAUACUGACGCUGAGGUGCGAAAGCGUGGGGAGCAAACAGGAUUAGAUACCCUAGUAGUCC
rnacentral:rRNA from 1 species